UACGAAGGGGGCUAGCGUUGCUCGGAAUCACUGGGCGUAAAGCGCACGUAGGCGGCUUCUUAAGUCAGGGGUGAAAUCCUGGAGCUCAACUCCAGAACUGCCUUUGAUACUGAGGAGCUCGAGGCCGGGAGGGGGUAGCGGAAUUCCCAGUGUAGCGGUGAAAUGCGUAGAUACUGGGAGGAACACCAGUGGCGAAGGCGGCUACCUGGACCGGUUCUGACGCUGAGGCGCGAAAGCGUGGGUAGCAAACAGG
rnacentral:rRNA from 1 species